rnacentral:rRNA from 1 species
UACGGGGGGGGCAAGCGUUGUUCGGAAUUACUGGGCGUAAAGGGCUCGUAGGCGGCCAACUAAGUCGGACGUGAAAUCCCUCGGCUCAACCGGGGAACUGCGUCCGAUACUGGAUGGCUUGAAUCCGGGAGAGGGAUGCGGAAUUCCAGGUGUAGCGGUGAAAUGCGUAGAUAUCUGGAGGAACACCGGUGGCGAAGGCGGCAUCCUGGACCGGCAUUGACGCUGAUGAGCGAAAGCUAGGGGAGCAAACGGG